rnacentral:rRNA from 1 species
UAACAAGGUUUCCGUAGGUGAACCUGCGGAAGGAUCAUUACAGAAUGAAAAGUGCUUAACUGCAUUUUUUCUUACACAUGUGUUUUUCUUUUUUUGAAAACUUUGCUUUGGUAGGCCUUCUAUAUGGGGCCUGCCAGAGAUUAAACUCAACCAAAUUUUAUUUAAUGUCAACCGAUUAUUUAAUAGUCAAAACUUUCAACAACGGAUCUCUUGGUUCUCGCAUCGAUGGAGAACGCGGCGAAAUGCGAUAAGUAAUAUGAAUUGCAGAUAUUCGUGAAUCAUCGAAUCUUUGAACGCACAUUGCGCCCUUUGGUAUUCCAAAGGGCAUGCCUGUUUGAGCGUCAUUUCUCCCUCAAACCCUCGGGUUUGGUGUUGAGCGAUACGCUGGGUUUGCUUGAAAGAAAGGCGGAGUAUAAACUAAUGGAUAGGUUUUUUCCACUCAUUGGUACAAACUCCAAAACUUCUUCCAAAUUCGACCUCAAAUCAGGUAGGACUACCCGCUGAACUUAAGCAU